rnacentral:rRNA from 1 species
GACGAACGCUGGCGGCGUGCUUAACACAUGCAAGUCGAACGGAAAGGCCCUGCUUUUGUGGGGUGCUCGAGUGGCGAACGGGUGAGUAACACGUGAGUAACCUGCCCUUGACUUUGGGAUAACUUCAGGAAACUGGGGCUAAUACCGGAUAGGAGCUCCUGCUGCAUGGUGGGGGUUGGAAAGUUUCGGCGGUUGGGGAUGGACUCGCGGCUUAUCAGCUUGUUGGUGGGGUAGUGGCUUACCAAGGCUUUGACGGGUAGCCGGCCUGAGAGGGUGACCGGCCACAUUGGGACUGAGAUACGGCCCAGACUCCUACGGGAGGCAGCAGUGGGGAAUAUUGCACAAUGGGCGGGAGCCUGAUACAGAGACGCCGCGUGCGGGAUGACGGCCUUCGGGUUGUAAACCGCUUUCGCCUGUGACGAAGCGUGAGUGACGGUAAUGAGUAAAGAAGCACCGGCUAACUACGUG